rnacentral:rRNA from 1 species
GAUCCUGGCUCAGAUUGAACGCUGGCGGAAUGCUUUACACAUGCAAGUCAAACGGUAGAGGGGGCAACCCCUCGAGAGUGGCGAACGGGUGAGUAAUAUAUCGGAACGUGCCCAGUCGUGGGGGAUAACGUAGCGAAAGUUACGCUAAUACCGCAUACGAUCUACGGAUGAAAGCGGGGGAUCGCAAGACCUCGCGCGAUUGGAGCGGCCGAUAUCAGAUUAGGUAGUUGGUGGGGUAAAGGCUCACCAAGCCAACGAUCUGUAGCUGGUCUGAGAGGACGACCAGCCACACUGGAACUGAGACACGGACCAGACUCCUACGGGAGGCAGCAGUGGGGAAUUUUGGACAAUGGGCGCAAGCCUGAUCCAGCAAUGCCGCGUGCAGGAUGAAGGCCUUCGGGUUGUAAACUGCUUUUGUACGGAACGAAACGGUGAGCUCUAAUAAAGUUUGCUAAUGACGGUACCGUAAGAAUAAGCACCGGCUAACUACGUG